rnacentral:rRNA from 2 species
GAGUUUGAUCGUGGCUCAGAGUGAACGCUGGCGGUAGGCCUAACACAUGCAAGUCGAACGGCAGCACAGGAGAGCUUGCUCUCUGGGUGGCGAGUGGCGGACGGGUGAGGAAUACAUCGGAAUCUACCUUUCGUGGGGAUAACGUAGGGAAACUUACGCUAAUACCGCAUACGACCUACGGGUGAAAGUGGGGGACCGCAAGGCCUCACGCGAUUAGAUGAGCCGAUGUCCGAUUAGCUAGUUGGCGGGGUAAUGGCCCACCAAGGCGACGAUCGGUAGCUGGUCUGAGAGGAUGAUCAGCCACACUGGAACUGAGACACGGUCCAG